UACGUAGGGGGCGAGCGUUGUCCGGAAUUACUGGGCGUAAAGGGCGCGCAGGCUGUGCUGCAAGUCAGCUGUGAAAUAUCUGGGCUUAACCCGGUUAUGCGGUUGAGACUGCAGUGCUGGAGUGCUGUAGAGGCAAGCGGAAUUCCCAGUGUAGCGGUGAAAUGCGUAGAUAUUGGGAAGAACACCGGUGGCGAAGGCGGCUUGCUGGGCAGCAACUGACGCUGAGGCGCGAAAGCCAGGGGAGCAAACGGGAUUAGAUACCCCGGUAGUCCUGGCCGUAAACGAUGAAUGCUAGGUGUGAGUGUAGAGAUACAUUUGUGCCGGAGUUAACGCGAUAAGCAUUCCGCCUGGGGAGUACGGUCGCAAGAUUGAA
rnacentral:rRNA from 1 species